GAUGAACGCUGGCGGCGUGCCUAAUACAUGCAAGUCGAGCGAACAGACGAGGAGCUUGCUCCUCUGACGUUAGCGGCGGACGGGUGAGUAACACGUGGAUAACCUACCUAUAAGACUGGGAUAACUUCGGGAAACCGGAGCUAAUACCGGAUAAUAUAUUGAACCGCAUGGUUCAAUAGUGAAAGACGGUUUUGCUGUCACUUAUAGAUGGAUCCGCGCCGCAUUAGCUAGUUGGUAAGGUAACGGCUUACCAAGGCAACGAUGCGUAGCCGACCUGAGAGGGUGAUCGGCCACCCUGGAACUGGGACACGGUCCUGACUCCUGCGGGAGGCAGCAGUAGGGAAUCUUCCGCAAUGGGCGAAAGCCUGACGGAGCAGCGCCGCGUGAGUGAUGAAGGUCUUCGGAUCGUAAAACUCUGUUAUUAGGGAAGAACAAAUGUGUAAGUAACUAUGCACGUCUUGACGGUACCUAAUAAGAAAGCCACGGCUAACUACGUG
rnacentral:rRNA from 1 species